AUUGAACGCUGGCGGCAGGCUUAACACAUGCAAGUCGAGCGAGCGGCGGACGGGUGAGUAAUGUCUGGGAAACUGCCUGAUGGAGGGGGAUAACUACUGGAAACGGUAGCUAAUACCGCAUACCAUCAGAUGUGCCCAGAUGGGAUUAGCUAGUAGGUGGGGUAAAGGCUCACCUAGGCGACGAUCCCUAGCUGGUCUGAGAGGAUGACCAGCCACACUGGGACUGAGACACGGCCCAGACUCCUACGGGAGGCAGCAGUGGGGAAUAUUGCGCAAUGGGCGCAAGCCUGACGCAGCCAUGCCGCGUGUGUGAAGAAGGCCUUCGGGUUGUAAAGCUCUUUCGGUGGCGAGGCGUUAACCACAUAAGAAGCACCGGCUAACUCCGUGCCAGCAGCCGCGGUAAUUC
rnacentral:rRNA from 1 species